CAGAACAACUUUUAUAAUAAGCGAACUGUCUGUCUAUCAGAUUGUCUAUAGUGACACAGUGUACUUAUCAGACUUUCGGUUAGACAAGGUAUUAUGUAUAAUGCCCGUAUCGGCUACUACGCCAGAACUCAUGUUUUUCAUUUGAAAUAAAAUCAAAACCUAUUUGCGGAAUACGAUAUCAGAGGUGUAUUUAUAGUUGAAAAUUAGGACAGUACACAAACAUUACGUAUGUUACGUACACCUAAUAACUAUAAAAUAU